rnacentral:rRNA from 1 species
GACGAACGCUGGCGGCGUGCUUAACACAUGCAAGUCGAACGGAAAGGCCCUGCUUUUGUGGGGUGCUCGAGUGGCGAACGGGUGAGUAACACGUGAGUAACCUGCCCUUGACUUUGGGAUAACUUCAGGAAACUGGGGCUAAUACCGGAUAGGAGCUCCUGCUGCAUGGUGGGGGUUGGAAAGUUUCGGCGGUUGGGGAUGGACUCGCGGCUUAUCAGCUUGUUGGUGGGGUAGUGGCUUACCAAGGCUUUGACGGGUAGCCGGCCUGAGAGGGUGACCGGCCACAUUGGGACUGCGAUACGGCCCAGACUCCUACGGGAGGCAGCAGUGGGGAAUAUUACACAAUGGGCGGAAGCCUGAUGCAGCAACGCCGCGUGCGGGAUAACGGCCUUCGGGUUGUAAACCGCUUUCGCCUGUGACGAAGCGUGAGUGACGGUAAUGGGUAAAGAAGCACCGGCUAACUACGUG